rnacentral:lncRNA from 1 species
UGGCCAUGGAGUGUUGGACUUCACAUGAUGAAAUGUCCAAAACACCCUUAAUGAGAAGGGGAGGCCUCAGAGUGUUUAAGAUCUUCAAGGCUCUAAAACCAUGGGUUCUUUUUGUGCUUUCGGGUGGGCAUCAAAGUCAAGCCCCAAGCAAACUUUCACAUACGGGAUUGUUCUAUGGUGUGCUCAAAUUGGCCCUUCCAUGUAUGUUCCCGUGCU